GUCGGUGGCGGAUAGGCUUCGCGGCGCGCCCUAUGCGGUACACGCCGUGUAGGCUGCUGCGCCGCGUCGUCCUUGUACGCCGGCUCAAUCCUACCGCGGUGCUCUUUACCGAGUGUCGAGGUAGGCCGACACUGUUUACUUUGAACAAAUUAGAGUGCUUAAAGCAGGCUCUUAAAUCAGCCUGAAUAGUGGUGCAUGGAAUAAUGGAACAGGACCUUGGUUCUAUUUUGUUGGUUUACGGAAUCCAAGGUAAUGAUCAAUAAGGACAGGCGGGGGCAUUCGUAUUGCGACGUUAGAGGUGAAAUUCUUGGAUCGUCGCAAGACGCACUAGAGCGAAAGCAUUUGCCAAGUAUGUCUUAAUUGAUCAAGAACGAAAGUUAGAGGUUCGAAGGCGAUCAGAUACCGCCCUAGUUCUAACCAUAAACGAUGCCAGCCAGCGAUCCGCCGACGUUCCUCCGAUGACUCGGCGGGGCGCUUCCCCCGGGAAACCAAAGCUUUUGGGUUCCGGGG
rnacentral:rRNA from 1 species